GGAAAGUUUCAAUGAUCAUUAGAAAUACAGGUGAUGGACAUUCAAGAAACAUCGUUCUCUUUUAAAACACAAUAUUCUGUUUUGUUUUUGUUUUUGUUUUUAAAGAUCCCUGUCUUUUUGUACAUUCCUUAAUAUCUAGUAUUUGUUCCAACACAAUGUUGGUAGCCAGAAGCCACCGACCUGAGGUUGGCAACUCUUAGAGAACGCAGCUUUCUUCUAUAGAACAGCAAGUUGCUACGGUUCAGCCAAAUUCUAUCUGUCUAAUAAAAGGCACAGAUCUCCCUCCGCGCCCCGGCUUGGGCAGGUAACUCACCAGUUCAGCUCCCUCUCCACCGCGCUCUGUGGAAACUGAAAGUGGCCACUGAGCGGGCGCUGUUCGCUAGUUCAUAGACUCUACUGCCGCUGCCGAGAAAUCACGUGGAUUCAAAGUGCCAGCCCCAGGGCGCGCGGGUAGCGUGCCCGGAACCCGCCGCGGCUUGGAGAUCGCAGCGGGACGUGCCUCUCUGACUACUGAGACUGGAGACGAUGUAGGAUGAAGGCAGGAGGAGCCACUGAGCAAAACUUCGUGGAGUUGGGUCCAGGGUCCAGUGGCUACAGCGGCUCAUCACCUGAGACCUGACCUGGACAAGCACGGCCUCCAGGUGUGUCUCUGCUGGUCCCUGGGUGCAAGGGUUGCCUAGGCUACAGAAGAAAGCUUGGUGCAGGGAUAAGGGAUGGAAAGAGGUGGGCGGUAAGAAAAGGACUACAGGGCCAGCGUCAGCCCUGGAAAGUUCCUGUCUCUGUUCCAAGUUCUACAACCUGCCCUGCCUCUUGUCUUUGUCCCAGAACAGGAGGCCAGGCUCCUCCUGAGGAUGGUUUCUGUGACAUCCCACAGUGAAGCAACUUUCCCAGAAUGCUCUGGGGGAGGAAUGGGGAGACAGUGCAUUAGCACUGUAGGGCAGGGUCAGCAGCACACCCAUGACCCCCAAACCUCAGGCUCAAGUCCUCCUCUUAAGUGCUGGCUACAUCACCUUAGGCCAGUGGUUCUCAGCCUUCCUGAUGCUGGGACCCUUUAAUACUGCAGCCUCGUGCUGUGCUGACCCCCAACCAUAACAUUAUUCUCGUUGCUACUUCAUAGCUGUAAUUUUGCUACUGUUACGAAUCAUAAUGAAAUCAUUUGACUUGGCAGAGGUUGGGUCCCCCAGAUUGAGAAACACCGCCCUAGACAAAAGUCUUGACUCUGAGUUUCAGUUCUGUCAUCUGUCCUGAGGACCAGAGAAGGAGCACCUUCCAAUUCCUUCAGAAGAAGUUAGAGCAGAUGUGCUGUGUGCCCAAAACUCUUAAGAAAUCCUUCUACAUUAGUCCCCUUCUUUGGAUCUCAAAUUCCUGUGACCUUCUAACCUCCUCCCUCCCGGGACCGAGCCGGAAAUCUAGAAAGUUCUUGACAGGCAAGAGUGUGUGUGGGGGGGUAGUCAUUAUUAUUUUGACUGAUUACUUGUGUGUGACUCUUAGCUUUCCCAACCUUACCUGGCUCGCUUCUUACAAAUAGAUGCCUUGUUUUU
ensembl:lincRNA 9330175E14Rik RIKEN cDNA 9330175E14 gene